UACGUAGGGUGCAAGCGUUUGUCCGGAAUUAUUGGGCGUAAAGAGCUCGUAGGCGGUUUGUCGCGUCUGCUGUGAAAACUCGGGGCUUAACCCCGGGCCUGCAGUGGGUACGGGCAGACUAGAGUGCGGUAGGGGAGACUGGAAUUCCUGGUGUAGCGGUGAAAUGCGCAGAUAUCAGGAGGAACACCAAUGGCGAAGGCAGAUCUCUGGGCCGUAACUGACGCUGAGGAGCGAAAGCAUGGGGAGCGAACAGG
rnacentral:rRNA from 1 species